CUGACCCCUGUGCCCCCUGCCAUCCAGGGGCUGCUCCGCCCCAGCUCAAACUGCUGCCGUCCCAGCGAAGCAAAUAUAUUUGGCUUUGCAGAGGGUGUGUAUGUAUUAAGGGACUCCUCCUAGUGAGGAAGACAGUAAUUGUAUUUUCAUCUGUUUAAUCUGAGAAGUAUUGACUGCUAAUCUAGACAGCAGUAGCAGAAGGAACUCUGCUUACUAGUUUAUUGUAUUAACAAUGUCUUCAUGAUAAGCCUCAUCUCCAAAAAGUACUUUGGACAGGCCUCAUAGUUUGUCACCAUUCUGGAGGACUCUUCAGCAGUUAUACUGUUUGGGAAGCUUCCUCUUUUUUUAUUUUUUCCUUAUGAACUCAAACCAAAGCCUUUGCACAGGAAUUCUAUGUGGCUACCUAGAACUAGACCUGCUGAAUUGCUUGUCUACUAUACAAGGAAAAUUAUUGUUAUGCUGGUUUGGGAAAUAUUGUUUUCAGGAUAUAUGUACCAUUUUUCCACUAAAUAACUAUGUGAGCAUACCAGUGGACAUACAGAUUACUCAACAUUUAAUCAAUUUCCAGAGGGGAAAGUAGGUAUGGACUUUGUGAAACAACUGUCAGGGUGAUUUUUAUCUUAAACAGUGCUCUCCGUUUGCUUUUUGUAUUAUCCUAGCUUACCAGUAAUUCAGCUGACAAGCUAAAUAGGCACAUGAAAGAGAACACAGGAGUGCUGGGUUAAUGUGCCAUUAUUUUGACCCUUUUUUCUGUGUGUGCUAUUGAAUAAUUCCAGGCUCAAUAAGAAAAAUGUUAAAUAGGACACUGUCUCAAACUAUUUGUGCAGAGCUGAGUCCAAAGAGACUUCUGUUGGCUGCAAAUUCAAGAGAGGCUUCACAGCUGUGUUGGGGAGCUUCCAACACUGAAAAUUAAAGGAAAUACUGCUCUUGAGACUUAAAGACCGUGAUUUGGAGAUGGGAUUCCAAGAAAUAAUACUCUUGUACGCAUUAACCUAAUCACUUGUUAAUCUUGUCUAACAGUGUUAAAGUUCCUCUUAGGCAGUACACAUUGUUUAUUGCUCCUUAGUUCCCCAGAAAGGUUUGUUUGUCUCAACUUUUCAGAAAUACAGACAGGUGAGUACAAAUAAGAAGUAAUACGCAUUCAAAAGGGACAGACUUUGCAUAAUUAAUUUCUUAAAGUAAUGGUCAGACAGGGUUCUUUGGGUGAAUCUGAUAUCUUUUAUUAGACCAACUAAAUAGCUGGAGAACAAUAUUUAAUCAAGCUUUAAGCAACCAUUUAAAGUAAUGGUGGUAUUUUUAGGAAGCCUUUGAAAUUAGAUUUUUGGAUUUGGCUUAAGCUAUGGGUAUAGAAAGCAAUACAUUUCCGUAAUCUUGAAGGUGAAUCCAGCUAUGAAGCAUGAAGAAGCACGUCAUUAUUAUUUUUUUCCCCUCUGUGGCCAUAUUAACUUUUAUAAGAUAAAGAUGAAAGCAAACUAAAUAGAAUCACUUUAGCAUAUCCGUCAAAGCUACUAAUAGAUUUGACUAAUGGAAAGGUGGGAAGUGAUUCAGUUUUAAAACAGAUGUCACCAUCUUCUCAGUUAAGGAAAAAUGUGUUAAAUAGCUAUAACGUUAGUGAAACCAAAAUAUUAGUCGUUUUGAAAUCAGUCUGAUUGAUUGCAUUAGAUUACAAAAGAGAAACGUCUCAAGGGGCUGAACUACUUAAAAUACAUUUAAAUACAGUGUCAGCCAUUUGAAAUUUUGGUAGCAAGGCAGGCAGCCUUCUGCUUCACUAUUUGUUCUUACCAGAGAUAGUGGGGGACACUUUAAACUGUGCCUCAGUCUGCAGCAUUACAGACUUCCCCCUCCCCCCAUUUUAAAGUGCUUUGGUUCUUAUUUCUUAUUCUUUGUGCUAAGCAGUUAAUAUUCCUUAAUUCUUUUGUAUCUAAUCCUACUUAUUCCAAUGAAGUAUGAAACCACUUUGGAUCGUAAAUUGAUUUGAUUUUUAGAGAGUCUUCACUAUGCUAAAUCAUUUUAAAUAUCUGAUUUUGAUUUUGAUUUUUUUAAAGUUUAGUAAUGUAUGCAAGUGACCUAUAAGAUAAGUGAGUAAGUAUCAUGUUACAGAUCGCAAUAUUGGGCCGUGUUGACAUUAAAUGUCUUGACUGGGAUUAAGCAACACUAUUUUUAGAGUCUGGAGCAGAUCCAAUCUGUUAUACCCUCUAGUUCUGAGCUCUGAACUGUUCUGCACACCUUAUAGUAUAAUAGUGUAUUUGAUGAUUUUAAAUACUUGCUUUCUUCCAAAAGAGUGCUAUUAGGAAUGUACUUAUGAUUUGCUUCAAAAUUAGUUGACUUUCCUAGUAGGAAAUUAUUUUUUGGUUUUCAUUUGUCAAGUCAUUGUAGACAACUCAGAAAAUCAACAGAAAAUUAACUAUAUCAAGCUGAUAUUGACUCUUUUAUUAUUAUUUUAUUUUUAAGUCUUCAGAUAGUCUUUGUUUACACCUUUGCCAAGUUGUAGCAGAGUAGAAUU